ACCGCUGUAGCCCAGAUGGUAGAGGCGUCGCCAGUACAAAUAGCGAAGGUAACUAGUUCAAAUCCAGCCUGCGAUU